CUCUGUGAUAAUGGUCUGCACGGUGCCAUCAUCCAGGCAAUGGGGAGCUAUUCCUGCAGAAAGACAGAGUACCUAGAAACCUGCUUCUCAGAAAAUGAGGGAGAUGCCUGCACCACUCCGUGGAUGGGGCAUCUCAGGGAAUAUAAAUGCUACUGCUGUAAGGCUGAGGAGCCUGGAUGAGAAUCCUGUCCCAGGCACGAGCCCACACAUCACAGCAGCUUGAAACGCGACGCUGGGACAAUGAAGUGUCUGUUCUGUUUCUUUUUGCAAAUGCUGCAACUGUAAAAGAAAAAGCAGACCUUUCUGGAAGCAGUGGACAAGUUGUAGUGCAGCAGUCAGAUCUAGCAGGGACCUCUUGACAACAGAAACUCCACUGACAGUUAGAAAGGCUCCUGGGUGGCUUCACAGAGGUGCUUCUUUGCUAUCCCCCUGAAAUUCCUCACCCCAGAAACCACAAGCUCAAAGGGCUCCGAGGCAGCAGAGAGGACGUGAACAAAGAGCUCCCUCCCUGCACUGCAGCUUGGAUCGGAUCCAAAACACUCACGGGCAGGAGGCAGACUGGAGACAUGCAGACAAGUAAUUUUUAGAAUAGACCUAGUUAUUAGUUGUUGCUUUCACUGGCACAACAUGCAGACACAAGCCUGUGAUUUUAGCCCAAUGGUGGCUUUAUAAAAUGCCCUCUGUAAGUCUCCUUCCAUCGGAGCAGAGUGAACUGGCACAUGUUCCUCUGGGUCAUUCAGACCUGCAGAGAGAGACGUGCCCAAGCCUGUUUAUCAGGGCAGCACAGAUCUUACAGCUGGAUCCCAUGUGUCCUGCAAAGUUAAAAUAUUCUUUAAACAAACAGGGAGUCAGAGGAGUAUCCCUCAUUUUCCUCUUUUUACUACCAGUCUAUUUGUUUUUCUUAAGCUUUCAGUUCCUGAAGUUGGAAGCUUAUUAAAAACUUUGUUUAUUGAAGGUUUUUUUUUAGCCCAAGGCUUUAAAAACAAAACUCAGAGAGUUGUCUUUUUUUGGUAAUCUCAUAAUAUUACAGUCAAUCUCACAGUACCUAGAAUUAUGACUCACUAUUUUUGUAACCCUUGAACUUGGCAGCACAGGGACAAGCAGUAACAUGCCACGAGUCUGUUUGUCUCGUGGGUGGAACUUCAGCAAAGUCUGGGUCUUAUUGCAGUGUUACAGGCUUGGGGAGAAUAUAUUUAUCUCCACAACCGUAAAUAACUAAAUAUAAUUAUCCAGUGUUAUACACAGUGAGAGAGAUCUGAGGUAGGUGUGAGUAAUGUUAUGAGAUAAGAAUAUAUAUAUAUAGUUUA